UAAUACGAACCGUACAAACGUUAUUCGGAAUCACUGGGCUUAAAGGGUGCGUAGGCGGCCACGUAAGUGAGAUGUGAAAUCCCUCGGCUCAACCGAGGAAGUGCAUUUCAUACUGCAUGGCUUGAGGGAGACAGGGGUAAGCGGAACUGAUGGUGGAGCGGUGAAAUGCGUUGAUAUCAUCAGGAACACCGGUGGCGAAAGCGGCUUACUGGGUCUCUUCUGACGCUGAGGUACGAAAGCUAGGGUAGCGAACGGGAUUAGAUACCCCGGUAGUCCUAGCUGUAAACGAUGAGCACUUAUCUGGGGAUCCUCCCAUAGGUUCCCGGAUGUAGCGAAAGUGUUAAGUGCUCCGCCUGGGGAGUAUGGUCGCAAGGCUG
rnacentral:rRNA from 1 species